UACAGAGGUGGCAAGCGUUGUUCGUAAUUACUGGGCGUAAAGGGCGCGUAGGCGGUUCGUUAAGUCCUGUGUGAAAUCCCCCGGCUCAACUGGGGAACUGCACAGGAAACUAGCGGGCUUGAGUUCGGGAGAGGGAAGCGGAAUUCCGGGUGUAGCGGUGAAAUGCGUAGAUAUCCGGAGGAACACCGGUGGCGAAGGCGGCUUCCUGGACCGACACUGACGCUGAGGCGCGAAAGCUAGGGGAGCAAACAGG
rnacentral:rRNA from 1 species